GACGAACGCUGGCGGCGUGCUUAACACAUGCAAGUUGAACGAUGUGGCGAACGGGUGAGUAAUACGUGAGUAACCUGCCCUCCUUUUUGCGAUAAGCCUUGGAAACGGUGCCUAAUCUCGAAUAAAGGGGGAUGGGCUCGCGGCCUAACAGCUUGUUGGUGGGGUGAUGGCUUACCAAGGGGGGGACGGGUAGCCGGCCUGAGAGGGUGACCGGCCAGAUGGGGACAGGGGAACGGCCGAGAGUCCUACGGGAAGCAGCAGUGGGGGAUAGUGCACAAUGGGCGACAGCCUGAUGCAGCGGCGCCGCGUGGGGGAAAAAAGCUUUCGGGUUAUAAACCUCUUUCGGUAUCGGACGGUUAGGUGGAGAAGAUGCGCCGGCUGACUGCGUGCCAGCAGCCGCGGUAAUAC
rnacentral:rRNA from 1 species